GCAAGUCGAGCGCGCCCUUCGGGGUGAGCGGCGGACGGGUGAGUAACGCGUGGGAACGUGCCCUUUGCUGCGGAAUAGCCACUGGAAACGGUGAGUAAUACCGCAUGAGCCCUUCGGGGGAAAGAUUUAUCGGCAAGGGAUCGGCCCGCGUUGGAUUAGGUAGUUGGUGGGGUAAUGGCCUACCAAGCCGACGAUCCAUAGCUGGUUUCGGAGGAUGAUCAGCCACACUGGGACUGAGACACGGCCCAGACUCCUACGGGAGGCAGCAGUGGGGAAUCUUAGACAAUGGGCGCAAGCCUGAUCUAGCCAUGCCGCGUGAGUGACGAAGGCCCUAGGGUCGUAAAGCUCUUUCGCCUGUGAAGAUAAUGACGGUAGCAGGUAAAGAAACCCCGGCUAACUCCGUGCCAGCAGCCGCGGUAAUACGGAGGGGGUUAGCGUUGUUCGGAAUUACUGGGCGUAAAGCGCGCGUAGGCGGACCAUCAAGUUGGGGGUGAAAUCCCGGGGCUCAACCCCGGAACUGCCUCCAAAACUGGCGGUCUGGAGUUCGAGAGAGGUGAGUGGAAUUCCGAGUGUAGAGGUGAAAUUCGUAGAUAUUCGGAGGAACACCAGUGGCGAAGGCGGCUCACUGGCUCGAGACUGACGCUGAGGUGCGAAAGUGUGGGGAGCAAACAGGAUUAGAUACCCUGGUAGUCCACACCGUAAACGAUGAAUGCCAGUCGUCGGCAAGCAUGCUUGUCGGUGACACACCUAACGGAUUAAGCAUUCCGCCUGGGGAGUACGGCCGCAAGGUUACAACUCAAAUGAAUUGACGGAA
rnacentral:rRNA from 1 species